GCUUCUUUUUCCACCGGAGCUUGCUCCACCGGAAAAAGAGGAGUGGCGAACGGGUGAGUAACACGUGGGUAACCUGCCCAUCAGAAGGGGAUAACACUUGGAAACAGGUGCUAAUACCGUAUAACAAUCAAAACCGCAUGGUUUUGAUUUGAAAGGCGCUUUCGGGUGUCGCUGAUGGAUGGACCCGCGGUGCAUUAGCUAGUUGGUGAGGUAACGGCUCACCAAGGCCACGAUGCAUAGCCGACCUGAGAGGGUGAUCGGCCACAUUGGGACUGAGACACGGCCCAAACUCCUACGGGAGGCAGCAGUAGGGAAUCUUCGGCAAUGGACGAAAGUCUGACCGAGCAACGCCGCGUGAGUGAAGAAGGUUUUCGGAUCGUAAAACUCUGUUGUUAGAGAAGAACAAGGAUGAGAGUAACUGUUCAUCCCUUGACGGUAUCUAACCAGAAAGCCACGGCUAACUACGUGCCAGCAGCCGCGGUAAUACGUAGGUGGCAAGCGUUGUCCGGAUUUAUUGGGCGUAAAGCGAGCGCAGGCGGUUUCUUAAGUCUGAUGUGAAAGCCCCCGGCUCAACCGGGGAGGGUCAUUGGAAACUGGGAGACUUGAGUGCAGAAGAGGAGAGUGGAAUUCCAUGUGUAGCGGUGAAAUGCGUAGAUAUAUGGAGGAACACCAGUGGCGAAGGCGGCUCUCUGGUCUGUAACUGACGCUGAGGCUCGAAAGCGUGGGGAGCAAACAGGAUUAGAUACCCUGGUAGUCC
rnacentral:rRNA from 1 species